AUACGGAGGGUGCAAGCGUUAUCCGGAUUCACUGGGUUUAAAGGGAGCGUAGGUGGCUUUGUAAGUCAGUGGUGAAAGCUCGGAGCUUAACUCCGGAACUGCCAUUGAUACUGCUUAGCUUGAAUCGGUUCGAGGUGGAUGGAAUGUGACAUGUAGCGGUGAAAUGCUUAGAUAUGUUACAGAACACCGAUUGCGUAGGCAGUUCACCAGACCCGUAUUGACACUGAGGCUCGAAAGCGUGGGGAUCAAACAGGAUUAGAUACCCUGGUAGUCCACGCCCUAAACGAUGUAAACUCGACAUUAGCGAUAUACAGUUAGUGUCUUAGCGAAAGCGUUAAGUUUACCACCUGGGAAGUACGACCGCAAGGUUGA
rnacentral:rRNA from 1 species